rnacentral:rRNA from 1 species
UGCCAGCAGCCGCGGUAAUACGUAGGUGGCAAGCGUUGUCCGGAAUUAUUGGGCGUAAAGGGCUCGCAGGCGGUUCCUUAAGUCUGAUGUGAAAGCCCCCGGCUCAACCGGGGAGGGUCAUUGGAAACUGGGGAACUUGAGUGCAGAAGAGGAGAGUGGAAUUCCACGUGUAGCGGUGAAAUGCGUAGAGAUGUGGAGGAACACCAGUGGCGAAGGCGACUCUCUGGUCUGUAACUGACACUGAGGCGCGAAAGCGUGGGGAGCAAACAGGAUUAGAAACCCUGGUAGUC